rnacentral:tRNA from 2 species
GACAGCUUGGCCGAGUGGUUAAGGCGAUAGACUAGAAAUCUAUUGGGGUAACCCGCGUGAGCUCAAAUCUCACAGCUGUCG